CAUCUUCUUCCUCUUCUUUCACGGCGAAACAGA
rnacentral:sRNA from 1 species